GGAGAGGUGUCCGAGUGGUCGAAGGAGGCGGUCUUGAAAACCGUUGAGCCGCUCCGCGGUUCCGGGGGUUCGAAUCCCUCCCUCUCCG
rnacentral:tRNA from 2 species